rnacentral:rRNA from 1 species
AGAGUUUGAUCCUGGCUCAGGAUGAACGCUAGCGGCAGGCUUAACACAUGCAAGUCGAGGGGCAGCACGAUGUAGCAAUACAUUGGUGGCGACCGGCGCACGGGUGCGUAACACGUAUGGAACUUGCCCUUUACUGGAGGAUAGCCCGGAGAAAUCCGGAUUAAUACUCCAUAACAAUCGAGGUGGCAUCACCUUGAUUUGAAAGCUCCGGCGGUAAAGGAUGGCCAUGCGCACGAUUAGCUAGUUGGUGAGGUAAUGGCUCACCAAGGCUACGAUCGUUAGGGGGCCUGAGAGGGUUAUCCCCCACACUGGUACUGAGACACGGACCAGACUCCUACGGGAGGCAGCAGUGAGGAAUAUUGCGCAAUGGAGGCAACUCUGACGCAGCCAUGCCGCGUGCAGGAAGAAGGCGCUACGCGUUGUAAACUGCUUUUAACCGGGAAGAAACCCCAGGACGUGUCCUGGGUUGACGGUACCGGAGGAAUAAGCACCGGCUAACUUCGUGCCAGCAGCCGCGGUAAU